AGAGCUGUGACAGGUGGAUUUAUUUUGGCAACAAAACACAAACAAGAGAAAGGCAAACCCAUUCCCAUUGGCAACAAAACACAAACAAGAGAAAGGCAAACCCAUUCACAUCUUUUGAGCCAUUACACCCAAAAAAGGUUUGAUGCAUGCGUUCUUGCAUUGUACAACACUGCGAAAUAUGAUGGCACUUUAUAGAUACUUGUUAAUAAUUACCGUGAAAAUAUUUGAGGAAACCUUUGCUGUUUUAAUAUACUUACUGGAAAAAGAACAAUGGGAACUGUCAAGGUAACUGCUACAAGAACUGCUAAGCGAACACACAGCAGAAGGGUGUCAAAUCUAUACACUUUUAUGUAAGUGUGAAGCAAUUCAUCACCGACUUCUCCUGCAAGUGAAGAAAUUAUAUCUAUUAACUUAAUAGCAUAUGGCACCGUUAAAAUGAAAGCAUUACAAGCAGAAAAAAUGUUUUCACUCCUAGAGCAAGGAUGACACAUGUUAAAAAAUUUGUAAUUUCUUCCAAUAUUCAUUUGAUUCGCCUGUCUUACUCUUUGCAGGCUGCCUCUUCCCCCUCUUACUUUUAUAGCUGUAUUGCUUAGACAUUUAAAUGGGAAAUUCAAUUUCAAUAAACUCUUUCCAGUUCUAA